rnacentral:rRNA from 1 species
AUACGUAGGGUGCGAGCGUUGUCCGGAAUUACUGGGCGUAAAGAGCUCGUAGGUGGUUUGUCGCGUCGUCUGUGAAAUUCCGGGGCUUAACUCCGGGCGUGCAGGCGAUACGGGCAUAACUUGAGUACUGUAGGGGAGACUGGAAUUCCUGGUGUAGCGGUGAAAUGCGCAGAUACCAGGAGGAACACCGGUGGCGAAGGCGGGUCUCUGGGCAGUAACUGACGCUGAGGAGCGAAAGCAUGGGUAGCGAACAGGAUUAGAUACCCUGGUAGUCCAUGCCGUAAACGGUGGGCGCUAGGUGUAGGGGUCUUCCACGACUUCUGUGCCGUAGCUAACGCAUUAAGCGCCCCGCCUGGGGAGUACGGCCGCAAGGCUAAAACUCAAAUGAAUUGGCGGGG